rnacentral:pre_miRNA from 14 species
GGUACCUGAAAUAGGUUGCCUGUGAGGUGUUCACUCUCUAUACGAUGAAUAUUAUACAGUCAACCUCUUUCCGGCGCC